ACCAAAACCAAACGCAUAAGCUAUUCUCAGAAGCUCACUUUCCCUUCAAACGCUCAACCCAUUAGAACCUCAUAAGCCAAACGAAAAUCUCAAAAGAUUCAAUCCGUUGGAACCCUUAAUCUUCUGCGAACUUUCGAAACUCCGAAAUCUUCAACCCACCUGAAAAUCAUAAUUCUUCAACCCAUUCGAAAAUCUCAAAAGCUUCAACCGAUUCGAACCAAUUCGAAUCUCAGAACCCCUUUGAAACUCAUGCAGAAACCAUUUGAAUCCUCAACCCAUUUGAAACCCUUUUGAUUGCUCGCACAUGUUUCUGUAUUCUUCCCGACCUUAUCACGAGUGAGAUAGCUAAGCAUGCAUUUUGAGUUCAUCACACCAAUGAAAAGCAUGUUGUUCAAGUACUCUUGUAGUUGCCGAAAAACGUAUUUAUGACAUAGAAGGACACGACCUCGACGGUGAUGGAGCGCCAUUACCAACACCAAAAUCACUAUUAAAAGAGCCCUUUUGUUUUUUCAACUCUCAGUAGGUGAAGAUGUUUUUGAUUUUUGAAAAGAAGAGUCGGUUUCUACAAGCAGCUAAUGCUGAUUUGAAAUGGAAAUUUUGGUCAAAAAUGGAGUAUACAUAAUGCUUGUAAGUUGUAAAGGAUGCUGGAGAUGCUUUUGGACGAAGUCGUUUUGUGAAGAUUGACUGCAAGGGAUUAGAUCCUGGUGAUUACAAGAAAUUAGGUUCCAAACAUAGGGUAUAUGCUUGUUGGUUGAGGAAAUGUCACAUGAGAGCAUCCAACGGGUAUUUGUUUCUACGAGCUUUGUUUUUAUCUUCAUCAGGAACAUUAACAAAAAGUUGAUGUUAAUACGUCUCUUCAUAUUUUUCCUGCCAAGAAAGAACAUGUAAUUUUGAAGUUUGAAAAGAGUGGAAUACAUAUUCAUGGACUACUCAUAUACACUCAAUGUCUUAUAAGCUUUUGAAGGUAUUUGACGAGCUUUGAUGUUAAACCAACAUGUGGCAUGCAGGUAAAAAUCUUAACUAUGUAAUCAUUAUUUAGUAUUCACCCCUUGUACAAAUUGUGUAUUUUACUUCAAAGGCCUGCAACUAAAAUUAAAUCAAAUUAAGUUUAGUGAAUUUUAUAAUAUAUUAUACACAUAUUUGCUAGUAUUCUUCACGGAUGAAAAUUUUGAUCAGCUUAAAUACAAAGUUAUUGGUGUUAAUUUUUUAUGAUGUCAUAGGAACUUCAUUUCAUUGUUGAUGUGUGCAAUUUACCAAGAAGUAUAUGGAUAUUCAGAGUUGAGUUUGUGGUGUGUCUUGCCAGGUUAAUCAUCAAUUUUGUAGCCUUCAAUGAGGCUCGACAAGUUGAUACAUCUAAAGCAAAAAAUAAAUAAGAAGAAUAUUGAUGAUAUGGACGAAGAAUUUCAAGAUUUGAAAGAACAAGAUGAAGAUAUAUAAAUUUGGUGCUUGUUUUUUUGUUUUCCUGAUGGAUAUUGGUGGUCACUUUGAAGAUGUUAUAUUGAAUGUGAUUAAUGAUAAUUGUCAUUAUCUCCAAGGGUAUUCAUUAGAAAUCCAAAAAUAUUAUUACGUAUGUAAUUGUGUAAAUGUUACUUUCAUUGUGAUCAAUGAUGAUCGACAGCUAUUUCAUUUUCUGUAAUAUAUUUAUUUAG